CUUUACUCCUAAAGUCUGUUAUUUCUAACGCCAUGGAUCCUACAUACCAUCAAACAGCUUUAAAUACUAACGAGAGGCACAAACUGGGGGACAGCAACAAGCUAAGAGGCUGACCAGUCAAAGCUGAGGUUUCAGCAUGCACUCAGUAGCAACAAUUUGUAUCUGCACAUCCUCCUUAACGCAGCAAGAUUUCCCAGGAUCAUUCAGAGGAACAUCAGAACUUAAGGAAGUGUCAGGGAGGGCCACAAAAGCUUGGUCUACGAGGCACACAAACAAAAUCAAGAGAAGCCGAGGUUUAUGGAGAGGGAACCCUCAAGCUCUUAGGGAGCUGAAGACCGGUGGUGGAAUGAUCAAGUCAGGCUAAAACAAAGAGCUAGUAUGUCACUCUAACUUGAGCCCAACACAUACACACACACAGAUGCAAUCACGAAGAAGCCACGUCAGAGGCUCGAUUCCGUGAGGAGCUUGAGGAGAUCUGGUUUACAGAUACAGGCCGAAAUCGGGUGAAUGGGAUUAGCUACAAUGGGCACCUUGGCCAGCAUGGAUGAGAUGGGCCAAAAGGCCUGUGCCAUAUAACUUCAUGGAACUAUAGAGGUGCUGGCCUGUUGCCAUAAAUCUUUUUGGAUGAAACCAGCACCCUGCAUUUAAAACAAAGGUAAGAUAGACACAAUUUUUUUAAUUCUGUUUUGGGAAAGCAGGUAUUGCUAGACAUUCUAGUAUUUCUCAGUUGGAAUUGCCCCCCUGAACAGAGCCUGCCUACUUCUAAGUCACAUCAGGCAAAUCGCUUUCCCUGCAGUGAGCUAGAAGGCCAGAGGGAUUUUUAACUGCAAUCUAGUCGUUUUUCUCAAUCACCAUCAAAGUUAAUUGCCUCAUUAUAGAAAAGGCAUGGAAGUUUUAGAGAGGGUGCAGGGGAGAUCGACCAGGAUGCUGCCUGGACUACAGGGCAUGUCUUUUGAAGAUAGGUUGAGCGAGCCAGGGCUUUUCUCUUUGGGGUAGAGUAGGAUGAGAGGUGACUUGGUAGAGGUGUACAAGGUGGUAACAGGCAUAGAUUGAGUUGGUAGCCAGAGUUUUUCCAGGAUGGAAGGGAGCAUUGUUUUAAGAUGAUUGGAGGGAAGUACAGGGAGGAUUUCAGAGGCAAGUUCUUUACAAAGAGAGUGGUGGGUUCAUGGAAUGCCUGCUAGGGGUGUUGGUAGAGGCAGAUACAUUUGGGGCAUUUAAAAAACUCUUAGGUAGGAACAUGGAUGAUAGAAAAAUAGAGGGUUAUGUGGG